rnacentral:rRNA from 1 species
GAGGAAUGUAUAGCAAUAGCUACUUGCAUCAUUGUAGAUGAUGCAAGAUCGACUAUGUCGAAUAAAAUUCUAGGUAGAAUUAUGAUAAUGACAUUGUCUGCCUAUGUGUCUUGACCAAAUUACGUGCCAGCAGUCGCGGUAAUACGUAGAAGACUAGUGUUAUUCAUGAUUAAUCGGUUUAAAGGGUACCUAGACGGUAAAUCAAGCCUAAAAUUAAAUGAAGGGACUAUUUUACUAGAGUUACUUAUGAGGGGGUAUUAAAGUACUGCUGGUGUAGAGAUGAAAUUCUGUCAUACCUCUUUUCAAUAGAAAAAUAAUGGCACAGGUAUAGGCGAAAGCAUCCCCUUAUGUGAUAACUGACGUUGAGGGACGAAGGCUUUGUGUAGCGAACAGGAUUAGAUACCCCAGUAGUCAAAGCAGAAAAUGAUGAAUGUCAUAGAUUAGAUAAGUAAGUUUAUUCUAUAAAUGAAAGUGUAAGCAUUCCACCUCAAGAGUAAUUUGGCAACAUUGGAACUGAAAUCAUUAGACCGUUUCUGAAACCAG